rnacentral:lncRNA from 1 species
AAAACACCUAAAAACGCUCCAACAAUCCAACUUGAAUGGCAAGCACGUCCAAGGGUCCUCAUUUUUCUCUUUGUUGCGGCACAAGGUGUGGUUUGAUGGAUGAGUGGUAAAUUAUGGUGGCGGAUGGAUAUAGGUGAGUUAUGGUGAAGGGUGGAUGGGUGGAUGGGUGGAUUGUGUUCUCCCGGCCAAAGAAUGAAAGUGUAAGUGUAUGGAGUUGUGAGAUGUGAAUGUAGUGUCUUUUGAUGGAUCUUUUCUCCUCCCCUUCUUGUUAACGUGAAGGGUGGAUGUAUUUAUAGGCUAGGGAGAGGACCACCAUCUAAUUAAGGGUGUAGUGGAUGAAUGUUUGGUAAUGAGUGGAUGUAAUGGGUGUAGUGAGUGAAUGUUUGGUAAUGAGUGGAUGUAAUGGGUGUAGUGGAUGGAUGUUUGGUAUGAGUGGAUGUAAUGGGUGUAGUGGAUGG